CCCUUAGACGUUCUGGGCCGCACGCGCGCUACGCUGACCAGUGCAACAAGCAUCCGUCCUUGGCCGACAGGCCCGGGCAAUCUUUGAACGCUGGUCGUGAUGGGGAUAGACUUUUGCAAUUUUUGGUCUUCAACGAGGAAUUCCUAGUAAACGCAAGUCAUCAACUUGCAUUGAUUACGUCCCUGCCCUUUGUACACACCGCCCGUCGCACCUACCGAUUGAAUGGUCCGGUGAAGCCUCCGGAUUGGCGCGCACCUCGGUGCCGCCGAGAAGUUGGCUAAACCUUACCAUUUAGAGGAAGGUGAAGUCGUAACA
rnacentral:rRNA from 1 species